AUGAUCUUCUCUUGGCUUCCCUAUGUCGAAUUUAUGAACAUCUAUAUUCAGAUUUCCUAUUUUAUUCCCUUUGUUUUUGUUUUACAACCCACGGGACUUAAUCUUAAUGACAUCCUUUGCAAUAGGUGCCAAAGUUUGCCUGUGAACAGAGCAGUAAGCGCUCUGUAUAUGCUAAUAAGGGACACAAACUUGCUCGACAAGAGAGUUCAAGUUCAAAUUGCAGCUAUAUUUUUCAGAUACUUUCUUCUAACUAGUACUACUAUUUACCCUUUAUUAUUUGUAAAUCCACCCUAUAUAACAGAAAUUCUAAAAAGUACACGAUCCUUAAUGCGUAAAACUAAAAAGAAAGCAAUCAUCACUACUAUGCAAAAAUUUCUAUAUGGAUUAUUCAACCAGCGUAAUUCUCCAAAAAUAUUACAUAUAAAAUAA